rnacentral:lncRNA from 12 species
UUUGUUAGGCUUAUUAAAAAUUCUCAAAGGGCACUUUAUUUUUACCUCCCUUCCCUUUCCCUGCCAUUGUAUCUGUAAUUCAGUGCUCUCAGAAGCCACAGGGGAAUGACAACCCUUCACAAGCAGCCAGGCUCACAAUAAGUAGUGCUGGCUCCAAGUCCUACUCCUGUGCCUUUGCCACAAUUGCACCUUGCCUCUGCUCUUGCUUGUUUGUUCCUGGACCUCUUCUAAACAGGAAUUAAGGGCAUAAACAUGAAUUGUGCAAGAACUCUCAUUUAUGGUGAUUUUAUGCUGUGGGGAAUUCCAUUAGAGAUUAGCUUUUUGGGCCAUAAAACUUUCAAAUCUCUUUUAAGCUGGAUGUGAAUUCCAGUUUGCUGAGGUAAAUAAAUACAACUUUCCAGUCCUGUUCAGUCCACCUGCCAAAAUCGGGUCUAUAAGGGCAGCCAAAAUCUAUUAUUGGUUUACACUGGUGCGAAUCUUCUGACGUUAAAGGUUGAAUCUGUGUAACUGAGAGUGGAAUUUGGCUUGUGGCCUUGGUAUCUUACAUGGCAUGGGUGAAAGCAUACAGUUCAGAGCAGAUAUAACAAGGGGGGGCUGGUGGGGGCAAGUGAUGGAAAAAAAAGGUACUAAAAAAGGCUGUGUACAGGCAUGUGAGCAUAGGAGUUUGUGUCCUUUGCUACCCUUUGAGCACAGCCCAGACCUUUGAGAAUAUUUUUUUUUACCAAGGUGAAGAGUCAUUCCAAUGGGUAUUUCAGAGAUUUUGCUGUCA